GAGUUUGAUUCUGGCUCAGAACGAACGCUGGCGGCAGGCCUAAGACAUGCAAGUCGUACGAGAAAGCCCUUUCGGGGGUGAGUAGAGUGGCGAACGGGUUAGUAACGCGUGGGAACAUACACAGCACAGGGGGAUAACCAUUGGAAACGAUGGCUAAUACCGCAUACGCCCUAUGGGGGAAAGAUUUAUCGGUGUUGGAUUGGCCCGCGUUAGAUUAGCUAGUUGGUGGGGUAAUUGCCUACCAAGGCGACGAUUUAUAGCUGGUUUGAGAGGAUGAUCAGCAACACUGGAACUGAGACACGGUCCAGACUCCUACGGGAGGCAGCAGUCGGGAAUAUUGUGCAAUGGGGGCAACCCUGACACAGCCAUGCCGCGUGAGUGAAGAAGGCCUUAGGGUUGUAAAGCUCUUUCAGAUGUGAGGAUGAUGACGAUAGCAUCACAAGAAGCUCCGGCUAACUUCGUGCCAGCAGCCGCGGUAAUACGAAGGGAGCAAGCGUUGUUCGGAAUUACUGGGCGUAAAGGGCGUGUAGGCGGAUUAUCAAGUUAGGGGUGAAAUCCCGGGGCUCAACCUCGGCACUGCCUUUAAGACUGAUAAUCUAGAGUAUGUGAGGGGAUAAUGGAAUACCUAGUGUAGAGGUGAAAUUCGUAGAUAUUAGGUGGAACACCAGUGGCGAAGGCGAUUAUCUGGCACAUUACUGACGCUGAGGCGCGAAAGCGUGGGGAGCAAACGGGAUUAGAUACCCCGGUAGUCCACGCCGUAAACGAUGUAUACUAGUUGUCGGGCAUUGGUUCGGUGACGCAGCUAACGCAUUAAGUAUAUCGCCUGGGGAGUACGGUCGCAAGAUUAAAACUCAAAGAAAUUGACGGGGACCCGCACAAGCGGUGGAGCAUGUGGGUUAAUUCGAAGCAACGCGAAGAACCUUACCCACCUUUGACAUGGUAGUUUGGGGUAUUGGAGACGAUACCUUUCAGUU
rnacentral:rRNA from 1 species